ACGAAGGGGGCUAGCGUUGUUCGGAAUCACUGGGCGUAAAGCGCACGUAGGCGGAUUGGUCAGUUAGGGGUGAAAUCCCAGAGCUCAACUCUGGAACUGCCUUUAAUACUGCCAGUCUUGAGUCCGAGAGAGGUGAGUGGAACUCCGAGUGUAGAGGUGAAAUUCGUAGAUAUUCGGAAGAACACCAGUGGCGAAGGCGGCUCACUGGCUCGGUACUGACGCUGAGGUGCGAAAGCGUGGGGAGCAAACAGG
rnacentral:rRNA from 1 species